GUAACUGGGAAACUGUUUCACCAUGGGCAUGUUUGUGAAUGUAAAGUCCACUGGAAUGUGGCAGCGCUUCGGCGUUCUUUGGGUCAGAGAGGGUGAAAACCCCGUUUACAUUCAUGAGCGUGUCUGUUGUGUGAGCGUGUUAAAGAGUCGGAUUGUUUGGGAAUGCAAUCCAAAACGGGUGGUAAAUUCCAUCCAAGACUAAAUAUUAGCAAGAGACCGAUAGCGAACAAGUACCGUGAGGGAAAGAUGAAAAGCACUCUGAAGAGAGAGUG
rnacentral:rRNA from 1 species